CCCCGGGAAACUGGGGCUAAUUCUCGAUAGGUGAAGAACUCUGGAAUGAGUCUUUGCCAAAAAGACGUUUACGUUAUGCUCGUAGGCGUUGCCCAAGGAUGAGGCCGCGACCGAUCAGGUUGUUGGUGAGGUAAUGGCUCACCAAGCCUUUUACCGGUGCGGGCCGUGAGAGCGGGAGCCCGGAGAUGGGCACUGAGACAAGGGCCCAGGCCCUACGGGGCGCAGCAGUCGCGAAAACUUUGCAAUACACGAAAGUGUGACAGGGCUAUCCCGAGUGCCAUCCGCUGAGGAAGGCUUUUACCCAGUCUAGAACGCUGGGGGAAUAAGGAGAGGGCAAGUCUGGUGUCAGCCGCCGCGGUAAUACCAGCUCUCCGAGUGGUGUGGAUGUUUAUUGGGCCUAAAGCAUCCGUAGCUGGCUGAGUUAGUCCCUUGUUAAAUCCACCGAAUUAAUCGUUGGAUUGCGGGGGAUACUGCUCGGCUAGGGGACGAGAGAGGCAGACGGUAUUUCUGGGGUAGGGGUGAAAUCCUAUAAUCCCAGGAGGACCACCAGUGGCGAAGGCUGUCUGCUAGAACGCGCCCGACGGUGAGGGAUGAAAGCUGGGGGAGCGAACCGGAUUAGAUACCCGGGUAGUCCCAGCUGUAAACGAUGCAGACUAGGUGUUUGGACGGCCACGUGCCGUUCUAGUGCCGCAGGGAAGCUGUUAAGUCUGCCGCCUGGGGAGUACGAUCGCAAGAUUGAAACUUAA
rnacentral:rRNA from 1 species